rnacentral:rRNA from 1 species
CAGGAUGAACGCUGGCGGCGUGCUUAACACAUGCAAGUCGAACGAUGAAGCCGGGUGCUUGCACCCGGUGGAUUAGUGGCGAACGGGUGAGUAUCACGUGAGUAACCUGCCCUUGACUCUGGGAUAAGCCCGGGAAACCGGGUCUAAUACCGGAUACGACCAGUCACCGCAUGGUGUGCUGGUGGAAAGCUUUAGCGGUUUUGGAUGGACUCGCGGCCUAUCAGCUAGACGGUGAGGUAAUGGCUCACCGUGGCGAUGACGGGUAGCCGGCCUGAGAGGGUGACCGGCCACACUGGGACUGAGACACGGCCCAGACUCCUACGGGAGGCAGCAGUGGGGAAUAUUGCACAAUGGGCGAAAGCCUGAUGCAGCGACGCCGCGUGUGGGAUGACGGCCUUCGGGUUGUAAACCACUUUCAGCAGGGAAGAAGCUUUUUGUGACGGUACCUGCAGAAGAAGCGCCGGCUAACUACGUGCCAGCAGCCGCGGUAAUACGUAGGGCGCGAGCGUUAUCCGGAAUUAUUGGGCGUAAAGAGCUCGUAGGCGGUUUGUCGCGUCUGCUGUGAAAGCCCGGGGCUUAACCCCGGGUGUGCAGUGGGUACGGGCAGGCUAGAGUGCAGUAGGGGAGACUGGAAUUCCUGGUGUAGCGGUGAAAUGCGCAGAUAUCAGGAGGAACACCGAUGGCGAAGGCAGGUCUCUGGGCUGUUACUGACGCUGAGGAGCGAAAGCAUGGGGAGCGAACAGGAUUAGAUACCCUGGUAGUCCAUGCCGUAAACGUUGGGCACUAGGUGUGGGGGACAUUCCACGUUUUCCGCGCCGUAGCUAACGCAUUAA